AAGUCGUAACAAGGUUUCCGUAGGUGAACCUGCGGAAGGAUCAUUAAUACGCUUUUGUUUGUAACAAAACAAAACGUUUUAAACUCCAAAAGAAAUAGUGGAAAUAUAACUUCCGGAUGCGAAUGUUGGGAACUGAGUAAAAUCGGUUCUUUGAAAAAGGGACUUCAAGUAAUUGACACUUCAGAGUAGAGCAGUGAGGUGAAAUUCUCUUUAAUGAGAGUUUGGUUCUGAAAAACAUUUGUAUCCGGUUAUCAUAAUCUGUUCUACAACCUCCAAAAUAUCAAACAAUAAACCCCAUGUACAACAACUUGAACUAAACAUUUUUUUGUCGUCCGCUUACACACUUGUUGUGUGAGAAGAUACUGCAAAGAAAAAACCUGAACUUAAGAACAACUCUUAACAACGGAUAUCUUGGUUCUC
rnacentral:misc_RNA from 1 species